CAAGGGCAGAAGAUGGAAAUGAGGUAUAUGGUCCAGACCAGGUUCCUCUGCCUCAAACCAGAGAAACCCAGUUGUCCCGUGGUGUCACUGUGCACCUGAAGAAUGAAGCAGGACCACCAAAAGGGUACUUCUCCUCCUAUUUUGGUCCUGUUCCAGAAGAAGGUGGAAGGAGUGCAUUGCAUAUUGCAUGCGAAAGAGAGGAUAACUGUGAGCAUGCCAGAGAUGUUAUCCGCCUCCUUUUAAUGCAUAAGGCAAAUCCAAACACAC